rnacentral:rRNA from 2 species
UAUACAUGCAGUCGAGCGAAUCGAUGGGAGCUUGCUCCCUGAGAUUAGCGGCGGACGGGUGAGUAACACGUGGGCAACCUGCCUAUAAGACUGGGAUAACUUCGGGAAACCGGAGCUAAUACCGGAUACGUUCUUUUCUCGCAUGAGAGAAGAUGGAAAGACGGUUUACGCUGUCACUUAUAGAUGGGCCCGCGGCGCAUUAGCUAGUUGGUGAGGUAAUGGCUCACCAAGGCGACGAUGCGUAGCCGACCUGAGAGGGUGAUCGGCCACACUGGGACUGAGACACGGCCCAGACUCCUACGGGAGGCAGCAGUAGGGAAUCUUCCGCAAUGGACGAAAGUCUGACGGAGCAACGCCGCGUGAACGAAGAAGGCCUUCGGGUCGUAAAGUUCUGUUGUUAGGGAAGAACAAGUACCAGAGUAACUGCUGGUACCUUGACGGUACCUAACCAGAAAGCCACGGCUAACUACGUGCCAGCAGCCGCGGUAAUACGUAGGUGCAGCGUGUCGGAUUAUUGGGCGUAAGCGCGCGCAGGUGGUUCCUUAAGUCUGAUGUGAAAGCCCACGGCUCAACCGUGGAGGGUCAUUGGAAACUGGGGAACUUGAGUGCAGAAGAGGAAAGUGGAAUUCCAAGUGUAGCGGUGAAAUGCGUAGAGAUUUGGAGGAACACCAGUGGCGAAGGCGACUUUCUGGUCUGUAACUGACACUGAGGCGCGAAAGCGUGGGGAGCAAACAGGAUUAGAUACCCUGGUAGUCCACGCCGUAAACGAUGAGUGCUAAGUGUUAGAGGGUUUCCGCCCUUUAGUGCUGCAGCUAACGCAUUAAGCACUCCGCCUGGGGAGUACGGCCGCAAGGCUGAAACUCAAAGGAAUUGACGGGGGCCCGCACAAGCGGUGGAGCAUGUGGUUUAAUUCGAAGCAACGCGAAGAACCUUACCAGGUCUUGACAUCCUCUGACAACCCUAGAGAUAGGGCUUUCCCCUUCGGGGGACAGAGUGACAGGUGGUGCAUGGUUGUCGUCAGCUCGUGUCGUGAGAUGUUGGGUUAAGUCCCGCAACGAGCGCAACCCUUGAUCUUAGUUGCCAGCAUUCAGUUGGGCACUCUAAGGUGACUGCCGGUGACAAACCGGAGGAAGGUGGGGAUGACGUCAAAUCAUCAUGCCCCUUAUGACCUGGGCUACACACGUGCUACAAUGGAUGGUACAAAGGGCUGCAAACCUGCGAAGGUAAGCGAAUCCCAUAAAGCCAUUCUCAGUUCGGAUUGUAGGCUGCAACUCGCCUACAUGAAGCCGGAAUCGCUAGUAAUCGCGGAUCAGCAUGUCGC